UUUGCAGCCUAGAAUACUGAGAUUGUAUGAAGAUUGGAGAUGCAGAGACUGACGAGUGAAGGAGCAAGGCCAGAAUCUUCCUACUUCUUGGCACUAGUUCUCUUUUAUCAGAAAACAGGAAGUGCAAUUCUAUGAGUCACAGAGGUCAGAAGCAGGUAGGGAGAGCCUGACAAUUACUUCUCACUAAUUGGUAUUCAAUGUCUUUUAACCAUGGCAACCUUUGUUCAAAUGAGAUCUUACUUGGAAGUCCAAUAUAUUCUGCAGAUAAAAGUGAGUUCCUUGGGUUAAAGGUGUAAGAGGACAGCCCAAACUUUAAUCUUGAACCUACAGUGGCCCCUGUGGCUUUUCCAUGGAAGCCCUAGGCCUUGAGAAGCAGAUAUGGAAAAUCACUCCUUGUUAUUGAUUGCAAAAAUUGCCAAAAUGCAUUGCAGCUUUUCCCAUCAAGAGGUAGAGCCAUUUUCUCUACUCCCAGAAUUGGGGUGGGCCUUGUGACUUGCUUUGACUGAUAGAAUGCAGCAAAAGUGACAUGGCGCCAGUUCUCAGCUAACACCUCCAGAGACUUCGUGCUCUUCUGUGCUUGCUCUUGGAACCCUUCCACCACCAAGUGGGCAAGCCCAGAUUGGCCUGCUGGACAGUGACAACCUCAGCCAUCUCAGCCCAGCUCUCAUUGUGCGAGAGCAGGAUGGCCUGCUGGAUGGCAACAGCCCCAGUCAUCGCAGCUGAGACCAUUGCAAGCCAACCUGGCAGCUGUUCAUGCCCAUCUGAGACCAGCCCAGCACAGACCCAAAGGACUGCCCAGUUGAGGCUGGCCAAAUUGCUGACCUACAAAAUUGUGAGCUAAAGUCAGAAAUGUAGAGAUAAUGGCUGGAGCUACAGCAGCCACAUUGGACCAUGAGGUAACCUUGAAGAUGGAACACCUGCACUAAAAAAGAAAAAGAGCCCGAGACUGUGAUGACCAGAGCUACUAUUAAGCCCAUGGCUCCCAAGCUCCCGGCUUUUUGUGUGUGUGAGAAAAAUUAUCUUUUAAAUCAUUGUUAUUCCUGGUUUCUUUCUAAAAACUAAAGGCAAUUCCUAAUACAA